AGCAGCAUGGCGCAGUGGUAGCGCGCGGGGCCCAUAUCCAGCUUGGACUAAGGUACCCCGAGGUCACUUGAUCGAAACAAGUUGCUGCUA